GCAAUGGUGGUUCAGUGGUAGAAUUCUUGAUUCCCAUGUGAGAGACCUGGGUUCGAUUCCCAGCCAGUGCA
rnacentral:tRNA from 1 species